AUGGACUGGACCUGGAGAAUUCUCUUCCUGGUGGCAGUGGCUUCAUGUGUGAACUCACAGGUGCAACUGGUGCAGUCAGGGGCUGAGGUGGGAAAGCCUGGAACAUCAGUGAAGAUCUCCUGCAAAGCGUCUGGAUACACCUUCACUGGCUCCUGGAUGAACUGGGUGCGGCAGGCCCCGGGACAAGGGCUUGAGUGGAUGGGAAUGAUAUACCCUGGUGAUAGUGAUACAAGGUAUGCAGAGAAGUUCCAGGGAAGAGUCAGUAUCACUGCAGACAAGUCCAAGAACACAGCCUACAUGGAACUGAGCAGGCUGAGCACCGAGGACAUGGCCGUGUAUUACUGUCCAAGAGGAAGAUGGCUUCUCUUGAGAACACCUGGUGUCACUCAUAUUUUCUUGUGGGAUUGUAGAGUGGAGAAUCUUAGAUGGUACAUGAAUAACCACAUGGAAGUUUGGACUGGUGUCACUGCAGGUUCCUGGACUGCAGAUCAUUCCAUGGCAGACUUCCUCUUUCACAUAUUUAGUCUUAAAUUCUGUGUCUCAGCAAAAAAAUUCUAUUAUCUGAGUUGA